rnacentral:rRNA from 1 species
CCUACGGGUGGCAGCAGUCGAGAAUCAUUCACAAUGGGGGAAACCCUGAUGGUGCGACGCCGCGUGGGGGAAUGAAGGUCUUCGGAUUGUAAACCCCUGUCAUGUGGGAGCAAAUUAAAAAGAUAGUACCACAAGAGGAAGAGACGGCUAACUCUGUGCCAGCAGCCGCGGGAAUACAGAGGUCUCAAGAGUUGUUCGGAAUCACUGGGCGUAAAGCGUGCGUAGGCUGUUUCGUAAGUCGUGUGUGAAAGGCGCGGGCUCAACCCGCGGACGGCACAUGAUACUGCGAGACUAGAGUAGUGGAGGGGGAACCGGAAUUCUCGGUGUAGCAGUGAAAUGCGUAGAGAUCGAGAGGAACACUCGUGGCGAAGGCGGGUUCCUAGACAUUGACUGACGCUGAGGCACGAAGGCCAGGGGAGCGAAAGGGAUUAGAUACCCUGGUAGUC